rnacentral:rRNA from 1 species
UAUAGUGGCGCACGGGUGAGUAACACGUGAAUAAUCUACCUCCGAGUGGGGAAUAACCAAAAGAAAUUUUGGCUAAUACCGCAUAACACUUACGAGUUAAAGCAGCAAUGCGCUUGGAGAGGAGUUCGCGGCAGAUUAGUUAGUUGGCGGGGUAAUGGCCCACCAAGACGAUGAUCUGUAUCCGGCCUGAGAGGGCGCACGGACACACUGGAACUGAAACACGGUCCAG